rnacentral:rRNA from 1 species
GAUGAACGCUGGCGGCGUGCCUAAUACAUGCAAGUCGAGCGAACAGACGAGGAGCUUGCUCCUUUGACGUUAGCGGCGGACGGGUGAGUAACACGUAGGUAACCUACCUAUAAGACUGGGAUAACUUAGGGAAACCGGAGCUAAUACCGGAUAAUAUUUCGAACCGCAUGGUUCGAUAGUGAAAGAUGGCUUUGCUAUCACUUAUAGAUGGACCUGCGCCGUAUUAGCUAGUUGGUAAGGUAACGGCUUACCAAGGCAACGAUACGUAGCCGACCUGAGAGGGUGAUCGGCCACACUGGAACUGAGACACGGUCCAGACUCCUACGGGAGGCAGCAGUAGGGAAUCUUCCGCAAUGGGCGAAAGCCUGACGGAGCAACGCCGCGUGAGUGAUGAAGGUCUUCGGAUCGUAAAACUCUGUUAUUAGGGAAGAACAAACGUGUAAGUAACUGUGCACGUCUUGACGGUACCUAAUCAGAAAGCCACGGCUAACUACGUG